ensembl:lncRNA
GACAAUAUGGCGGACAGGCUAACGCAGCUCCAGGAUGCAGUCAACUCCGUAAGAUGAUAUUUGUAUUUUAGAUGAAUAUUCAGUUAAGCAUGCUGGGUUUUAAUGGUCCGAAUUGACAUUUUAAUACUUAUAUUACAUUGUAAACACAAUUUUAGCAGAGCAAAGUCGAUAUUUACGGGCAAAACUAGUCUGAGAUGUUCCCACUGAGACACUAACAUGGUGGUGGUGGUGGUGUGUUGCUGUGGUACUGUGGUACUGUGCAUCAGCUACUGCAGUCAUGUUGAGGGUUUUAGACACUGUGUGGUCUUACUGGACACUUAAAACAAUACUUUGUUGGUCCCGUUAGUGAUUAUAGGUCGUCUAUAACUUGUCAGACUGGUUCUCAGCCCAACAGUGAUAUUGUGGUGCUUAAAAAACACACAACCUUGUCAGUGUCACUGCUGGAUUGAGAACCACUACAAUAACAUCAACACUUUACUGGUUUGAUGGUGGUCCUGUUCAAUACCUGGUACCUACACUUGUGCAUAGCAUUUUAUAUGUUUGGAGUGUAACUGCUGAUUGUACCCCUACAGAAUGAACCCAUAUAGAAGGUAGGGCUGGGCAAUAUGAUGAUGAUGAGGAAAUAUCGAUAUAGUGAUGAAUCGUGUCACGUCUCUAAGAUAUCAAAUGAACAUAAAUUGAGCAAACCCCUGCAGAAUUCGGAGCUUGGGAUUGUUUUCCGAAAUUACCGCAGAUUUUGGACCAAAACACAUCGUGCGACGUCAUCACGACGCGCAUUCAGCCAAAGCCCUGCGUCGAACAUGAGUAUGGCGGAAAGGUCUCGUUUACCGACAAACAUCACUUGAAGCUUCAAGAAGUUUUCAGCACAAAAAAAUUCACGACACAACGAUGACGCAAAUAAAUUCUGCGAAUCCUGUACAGACUGAAAACGCUACUGUUUUUCUUGCAGGUUACCCAACCUGAAUAUCCUGAUACAUAUCGCGUAUCAUAAUAAAAUGUCUUUAAGCGCCAUGAUAUCCGAUUCUGUCAUAUCGCCCGGCCGUUUCUGUGGGUUUAGGCUGUUUGGUAUUGAACUGGCAAAUCAAGCUAUACAUACAAUAGCAACAUAAUACAAAACAAAAAAUACAUUGUUGUUUUUGUGUGAUCUCAAUCCCAGAACGCUGAGUAAUUUGUUUUCCAUUGUUAAAGUUGUUUGUUACAUAUUAAGGAAUCUUAAAGCUAUGGAACAGCUGUUGGAUGAUUUAAGCUUGUACUGUUGUGAACGCCUGGGUUGUAGUUGGCCGAUCAGUUCUGUAACGCCAUCGGAGUGCUGCAGCAGUGCGCCCCGCCCGCUUCCUUCAGCAACAUCCAGACCGUCAUCAACAAGGAUCAGCCGUCAAACCCCACGGAAGAGUACGCACAGCUUUUCGCGGCACUGAUUGCAAGAACGGCUAAAGAUGUCGAUGUCUUGAUUGACUCUCUGCCCAGCGAAGAAUCCACUGCUGCUCUACAGGCCGCUAGUCUGAGGCAGCUAGAGGAGGAGAACCAUGAAGCAGCGGCUCGGCUGGAAGAGGUGGUGUACAGAGGAGAUUUACUGCUGGAGAAGAUACAGAGCGCUCUGGCCGAUAUUGCACAAUCGCAGCUACGCACACGCAGUGGUACGUCCAGCCAACCUGCGGCCCCUGAACCCUGACCUCCAGCAUUAUAUAAUGGACAACAUAUCAUGUACACAGUAGGGACGUUUCGAUCCCGUGUUCAUUUGUGCUCCUUGAGAUCAGCCUGUACAGUUAGUCACCGAUGCCGAGAGUUUCUGAUCCCUGUAUGAUAACCAUCACAUGGAUUAAUAUUGAGCGUGAACUUUGAAUAGUCUGAGGUGUUAAUGUUCACCAAAUUAAAAAAACAAACAAACAAAGUUCAAGACUCUGGAAUUUUUCCUUUUAUGUAACACAGUGCGAGUGAGUUUUUCCUAUUUUGUAUAAUCUACAACUGUUCUAAAAGGAACAUUAAAAAUGUAAAUGCACUUUUUUUUUUUUUUUUUGCAUUAAAAAUGUUUAUGAAAUGCUACUGAAAUGUGAUUGGCUGAUGGCAGAGCAUGUUCUUGGAGUAGUCCAGUCAUGAUAAACCUGGUACGCCCGGGAACGCCGUGGGGGAAGAAACAUGCGCACCUCGGUGUUUGUCUUUUGAGAGCAACAUGCUAACUGUGG